UGCCUACGGGUGGCUGCAGUGGGGAAUAUUGGACAAUGGGCGCAAGCCUGAUCCAGCCAUGCCGCGUGAGUGAUGAAGGCCCUAGGGUUGUAAAGCUCUUUCACCGGUGAAGAUAAUGACGGUAACCGGAGAAGAAGCCCCGGCUAACUUCGUGCCAGCAGCCGCGGUAAUACGAAGGGGGCUAGCGUUGUUCGGAAUUACUGGGCGUAAAGCGCACGUAGGCGGGUAUUUAAGUCAGGGGUGAAAUCCCAGAGCUCAACUCUGGAACUGCCUUUGAUACUGGGUACCUAGAGGAUGGAAGAGGUAAGUGGAAUUCCGAGUGUAGAGGUGAAAUUCGUAGAUAUUCGGAGGAACACCAGUGGCGAAGGCGGCUUACUGGUCCAUUACUGACGCUGAGGUGCGAAAGCGUGGGGAGCAAACAGGAUUAGAUACCCCGGUAGUCUG
rnacentral:rRNA from 1 species